CAACAGUUCAAAGAAAACCAGUAAGCUGAACAGGAUUGAUACACAUUUAUAUGUACCUCACUGAAUCACAUCGGAACAUAUACAGGACAGGGGACUCCGUGGAAGAACACCAGAAAACAAGAAAUUUCACAACAGAAAACUGAAUUUUAACUGGGGAAUAGCAGCUCCUAUGGUCCUUAUAUGCAAACUGUUUCCAGUUCCUGUUUCCUGUCCUGAGGAAGGAGGCGGUCUCUCCAAAGGUGCCAUCAUGUGCUCAACGAAAAACAAUUACCG